GAGAAGAACGUAGCGAAAUGCGAUAAGUAAUGUGAAUUGCAGAAUACAGUGAAUCAUCGAAUCUUUGAACGCACCUUGCGCCCUUUGGCCAUUCCGAAGGGCAUGCCUGUUUGAGUAUCAUGAACACCUCAACUCUUUAUGGUUUUCCAUGAUGAGCUUGGACUCUGGGGGUUUUGCUGGCUCACAGUCGGCUCCUCUAAAAUGAAUCAGCUUACCAGUGUUUGGUGGGUAUCAUGGGUGUGAUAACUAUCUACGCUUGUGGUUUUUCCACCAGGUAACCUUCAGCAGUGGAGGUUCGCUGGAGCUCAUAGAUGUCUCUCCUCAGUGAGGACAGCCCUUUGAAUGUUUGAUCUCAAAUCAGGUAGGACUACCCGCUGAACUUAAGCAUAUCAAUAAGCGGAGGA
rnacentral:misc_RNA from 1 species